rnacentral:rRNA from 1 species
CCUACGGGGGGCUGCAGUGGGGAAUAUUGGACAAUGGGCGAAAGCCUGAUCCAGCCAUGCCGCGUGUGUGAAGAAGGCCUUCGGGUUGUAAAGCACUUUCAGUGGGGAAGAAAGCCUUGGGGCUAAUACCCUCGAGGAAGGACAUCACCCACAGAAGAAGCACCGGCUAACUCCGUGCCAGCAGCCGCGGUAAUACGGAGGGUGCGAGCGUUAAUCGGAAUUACUGGGCGCAAAGCGCGCGUAGGCGGUCUGAUAAGCCGGUUGUGAAAGCCCCGGGCUCAACCUGGGAACGGCAUCCGGAACUGUCAGGCUAGAGUGCAGGAGAGGAAGGUAGAAUUCCCGGUGUAGCGGUGAAAUGCGUAGAGAUCGGGAGGAAUACCAGUGGCGAAGGCGGCCUUCUGGACUGACACUGACGCUGAGGUGCGAAAGCGUGGGUAGCAAACAGGAUUAGAUACCCGAGUAGUC